GGUUCCAUAAUCUCCCAAAACAAAUGCCACCAACUGGGGACCAGGUAUUGAAAUACAUGAGCCUUUAGGGGUCCUUCCUCAUUCAAACCACUACACUCACUCAAUGUAUCUGUCAGAAAAGAAGCAUAGAUAAUGCCACAGUGUCCUGAGAGAGCACUUGUGUCUGAGGACCGUUAGUCACUGAAGUUAGCAGCUACUCAAGAUCUGUGUGACCUCUGAGGAAGAACGGGACGGCUUCAUCAGAGUCCUCAGUGGGAAGAAGAGAGGCCUCGUCCCAUUGGAUGUACUGGUAGACGUGUGACUGUAGCAGACCCUCCCAGUGCAGGAGGCCAGCGCUGCUGAUCUCUCUGUGUCCACCCAGAGGAGCAGCUGCACUGAUGGGUGCCCAGAAAACAGGGAGACUUGAAGAUUUGAGAGUGUGCUAGCAAUCUGGAAGCAGGCCAACUGCACAGCACACCAAGGCUGCCUGAGAGCAGCAUCCCAGAGCUGAGGGCUGCUAGCGGGAGUAGGUGGGCUGUAGCUAAGGCUGCCCCAGGACUCAGCUCCCUUCCUGCUCACCUGUGCAAGGCUGGAGUCUGCUCCAGGUCAUGGUGUGCUCCUGAUGAGAAGUUUGGAGCAGAGUAGCCAAGCGUUACUCUGGUUCUGGAUUACUGGUCCCCGUGCUGGCCAAUCAACCUCAUCACGACUCUUGCAAAGAAUCAAGAAAUCCAACCUCCCCGCUCCCAACACCCCAGGGCUCACUCCAGCUCCUGCUCAGUUUGUGUCUUGGCUGGCAGGACUAUCCUUUCUUUCUCUCCCAUUCUUCAAGCACAUCCUAGGCAGGGCCAAACCAGCAAGGUACCGAAUGCAAAGAUCUGACUUACCUACAGAUUUCGAAGGAGGGCAGCCUUGCUACUUCAGCGACUCGAAAGUGACAGGGCAAGGUCCAAGGCACAGAAUCAAGUAGCAGCAAGUAGUGGGUGUGGGGACAAGGAAGGAGUCCUUAUACAUUGGGAUCGUACAGCCAUUUUAGUUGGGUGGUUUUUUUCCCCCAGAGCAGGUGGGGCUGGGAGUGGGAAGUAGGAAAGAGUCUCCGUUUUCAUUUCAUAUCCUCUUUAUCAGGAGCAGCCCUUCUCCGUUUGUGCAACCUGUAGGACUGCACUGUGGUGGACGAGUCCACCGUGCA
rnacentral:lncRNA from 1 species